AGGACCCCAUCAUACACAUGCCGUCAUCAUUCCUAAAUACAGAACUAAGAAAAUAAGAACUAGGAGGGAUUUCCAGGGGUGUCACAUUCAGCAAGAGUUACUUGUCUCACUCCAGAGCUGGAACUGCCUACCAGGGCCUUUUAUCUCAGUCUCAUAGGUUGGGCUAUUGAGCCCCAGGGAUUCCGUGGGAUGGAAACAGACGUGGACAUCACCUACCUGGAUCUUUCCAUGGAACUGAGCAUCCUAAUAUAGGUCUUCACGCUUGAAUGGUAA
rnacentral:lncRNA from 1 species